rnacentral:rRNA from 1 species
UUCCGGUUGAUCCUGCCGGAGGCUACCGCUAUUGGAGUUCGAUUAAGCCAUGCGAGUCGCGAGUCUUAGGGACUCGGCGUACCGCUCAGUAACACGUGGGUAACCUGCCCUAUGCUGGGGGAUAACCUCGGGAAACUGAGAAUAAUACCCCAUAGUUCACCACGCCUGGAACGGUGGGUGGAUCAAAGCUCCGGCGGCAUAGGAUGGGCCUGCGGCGUAUCAGGUUGUAGGGGGUGUAAUGUACCCUCUAGCCCUCUACGCGUACGGGUGUUGAGAGACAUCGCCCGGAGAUGGAUUCUGAGACACGAAUCCAGACCCUACGGGGUGCAGCAGGCGCGAAAACUUGGCAAUGCGAGAAAUCGUGACCAGGGAACUCCAAGUGCAUCGGGUAAGACCGAUGCUUUUCUUGACUCUUCAAAGGUCUUGGAAUAAGGGGUGGGUAAGGACGGUGCCAGCCGCCGCGGUAAUACCGGCGCCCCAAGUGGUAGUCGCUUUUAUUGGGCCUAAAACGUCCGUAGCCGGUCUGGUACAUUCGUGGGUAAAUCAACCAGCUCAACUGGUUGAAUUCUGCGAGCACGGCCAGACUUGGGACCGGGAGAGGUGUGGGGUACUCUCAGGGUAGGGGUAAAAUCCUGUCAUCCUGAGAGGACCACCUGUUGCGAAGGCGCCACACUAGAACGGAUCCGACGGUCAGGGACGAAGCCUAGGGGCACGAACCGGAUUAGAUACCCGGGUAGUCCUAGGUGUAAACGCUGUGGACUUGAUGUUGGGGGCGCUCCGAGCGCACUCAGUGUCGAAGCGAAGGUGAUAAGUCCACUGCCUGGGGAGUACGGUCGCAAGGCUGAAACUUAAAGGAAUUGGCGGGGGGGCACCGCAACCUGAGGAUUGUGCGGUUUAAUUGGAAUCAACGCCGGA